UACAGAGGUCCCGAGCGUUGUUCGGAUUCAUUGGGCGUAAAGGGUGCGUAGGCGGCGGGGCAAGUCUGAUGUGAAAUCCUGGGGCUCAACCCUGGAACUGCAUUGGAUACUGCCUUGCUAGAGAACUGGAGAGGAGACUGGAAUUUACGGUGUAGCAGUGAAAUGCGUAGAGAUCGUAAGGAAGACCAGUGGCGAAGGCGAGUCUCUGGACAGUUACUGACGCUGAGGCACGAAGGCCAGGGGGAGCAAACAGG
rnacentral:rRNA from 1 species